GUGAAACCGCGAAUGGCUCAUUAAAUCACACCUAAUCUACUGGAUACUAGUCAGUUACUUGGAUACCUGAGGUAAUUCUUCAGCUAAUACAUGCACACAAGCCUCGAACUUACGUGAGAGGCGCUUUUAUUAGAUCAAAACCAGUCGCUUUCGAGCGUCCCUUUGGUGACUCUGAAUAACUUUGGGCUGAUCGCAUGGCCUCGAGCCGGCGACAUAUCCUUCGAAGGUGUGCCCUAUCAACUGUCGACUGUGGCAUAGACGCCCACAGUGGUUUUGACGGGUAACGGGGAAUCAGGGUUCGAUUCCGGAGAGGGAGCCUUAAAAACGGCUACCACAUCCAAGGAAGGCAGCAGGCACGCAAAUUACCCAAUGACCGAAGGUCGAGGUAGUGACGAAAAAUAACGAUACAGGACUCAUCCGAGGCCCUGUAAUCGGAAUGAAUUAACUUUAAAACCGUACAUGAGGAUCUAUUGGAGGGCAAGUCUGGUGCCAGCAGCCGCGGUAAUUCCAGCUCCAAUAGCGUAUAUUAAAGUUGUUGCGGUUAAAAAGCUCGUAGUUGGAUCUCGGCGGGUAGAAGGCGGUACACUGCUAAGUGUUACUGCCUUAUUACCCGUAGUUUUUGCUAGAGGUUUCAGGGUGCUCUUAAUCGAGUGUCCUGGGAUGCUAGCAGGUUUACUUUGAAAAAAUUAGAGUGCUCAAAGCAGGCUACUACGCUUGAAUAUUCGUGCAUGGAAUAAUAGAAUAGGAAGUCGUUUCUAUUUUGUUGGUUUUCGGAAAUCGACUUAAUGAUUAAUAGGGACAGUCGGGGGCAUUUGUAUUCAAACGACAGAGGUGAAAUUCUUGGACCGUUUGAAGACAAACUACUGCGAAAGCAUUUGCCAAGAAUGUUUUCAUUAAUCAAGAACGAAAG
rnacentral:rRNA from 1 species